rnacentral:rRNA from 1 species
GACGAACGCUGGCGGCGUGCUUAACACAUGCAAGUCGAACGGAAAGGCCCUGCUUUUGUGGGGUGCUCUAGUGGCGACCGGGUGAGUAACACGUGAGUAACUUGCCCUUGACUUUGGGAUAACUUCAUGCAACUGGGGCUAAUACCGGAUAGGAGCUCCUGCUGCAUGGUGGGGGUUGGAAAGUUUCGGCGGUUGGUGAUGGACUCGCGGCUUAUCAGCUUGUUGGUGGGGUAGUGGCUUACCAAGGCUUUGACCGGUAGCCGGCCUGCGAGGGUGGCCGGACAGGUUGGAAUGGAGAUACGGCACAGACUCCUACGGGAGGCAGCGGAGGGGAAGAGUGCACUAUGGGCGGAAGCCUGAUGCAGCAACGCCGCGUGCGGGAUGUGGGCAUUCGGGUUGUAAACCGCUUUCGCCUGUGACGAAGCGUGAGUGACGGUAAUGGGUAAAGAAGCACCGGCUAACUACGUG